ensembl:lncRNA
GUCCUAUUUAACAUCUAAACGUUCUUAAAUCAAGAUGCAUUUACUUGUGAAGCCAAAUUCUCAAAAGAGAAGCAAAUCUGUGGUAUUCUCCUUUUGUUUUCUGCUGGAGAUUAAACAAAGCGUGUUUGGAAGGACAUGAGGCUGAGUAAAAUUAAAAGGUUUGACUCUGGACACCAGCGAACGAGCCGCAGCUCCGUCACAGGUAAUAAAUCUUCAUCUCUGACGUCUGUCGGAUCAAAGCAGAACCAGGGUCAUCUUCUGCAGCUCCGAGUCCUUCAUGCAUCCUCCGCUUCACCUUACUGGAGAAUUCAUGAAGCCUGUCGGUUCGAAUCAACAGCAGAGAAGCUUUUUAUGCUGAUCUGUUAAGUUUCAUUGAGAUAUAGAUUGAAUUAAUUCCAUUUUCAUUUUAAAUUCAGUUAAAGUUUUAGUGAUUAUGUAUUUUUUAAACAUUCAUUUCAAUUGCAGUUAUAUAGUACAUCGUUACACAACAAAAUGAGAAUGAGAUGAAAUUAAAUAUGUUUAUGAAAUAUAUUACACACACACAUACACACACACACACUUAUAAUGUGUACAAUAAAAAUAUACGUAUUGUUUAGACACUGAUUGAGGAUCAAAUCUCAAUACAUUUAAGUCAAUUACAAUUUUAUUUUUUAUUGCUUUUUACUUUUUUUUUUUUUGCAUUGUAAUAUUUUAAUUGACCAAUUUACAUUAAAUGUAAAUACAAUUUAUGAAAUGUAAAUACAAAGUUUUAACAUUUAAGUUUUCAGUUUUAAUCAACCUUUUUUGUAUGUGAUAAUUUUUAAGUAUAAAGUCAGUUUGUUUUUAGAUAAUUUUGCCAUUCAAUGUUUGAGACUUUAUAUAUAUAUUUUUAACAUGCAUUCUAAUAUUUAAAUUGUCCAAAUUUAGAUAUUUUUGAUGAGUUUUUGUAGGUUACCAACACCCCACCACCUCUCUUUCUUCAGGACAUUAUGUCUUUCAUAACUGCUUUAAAAGCCUAUUACAGCAGGCUCCAGUUGUGACAACUUGCCCCGAUGUUCAGUGGUGUUUAUUUUUGGUGACUUUGUAUCUAUUCACUGGAGUGUCACAGCCAGCAUCCUGGCUUUCACGGUCCAUUUCAAUUUAAGACUUAUUUCGCAUGUUCAGUAGAAGUACCUUCCAUAAUUACACUCUAGAAUCCAUAGUCUCAGUAAAGCCGCAUUAUGAUGCACAACUCUAUUAGCGCGUGCUGAUUUGAGUGCAUCGGAUUGCGCUCAUUGACCCGCACUAAUGCAGCUGGAGUGCGUGAUGAAUCCUCGCCACACACUGCUCUGAUCCCGCAGAGAAGGACUGAGAAACACGAGCGGUGCAGUAUCGACGAAAUGCACAGUCGUUUAGCGUUAACUGAGAGGAGUUUGGCUGUUCCUCAUAAUUACGCACGAGGCGUUUCUGCGUAAUGGAUAAAGUUACAGAUGCAUCCUUGAAGCGGGAACGCACCGACUGGAAUUCAGUGAUGAUGAUGAUGAUGAUGAAGGCACAGUUACGUGGCUGACCCGACCUGUGCUGGUAGUCUAUAUAAACCCCAUCCAGCAAGAGAAAGUCAACAACACCCGUCCAGAUUCAGUAGCUACCGUCAAACACGCUCAACAAGUCCACGGACCGCGCGCGCCCGGGUUAUGAAGCGAGAACAAGCACGAAACAUCACAGAAUAGCCUCGUCUUUGCGAUGCACGCAGACUUCUUCCAGAUGAAGCAGCCACU